AACAAUAAUUUAAAAAACAGAUAGAUUGUUGUUCUGAUAGAAUCCUGAGAUACUUCACUUCUUCAGGAAAAUCUAAACCAGUCAAUGGUUGCUAGAAAUGCCUCAACCUCUAGUAAUCCUUUAACUAGACCUGAGACUGCAGACAGCUUGCGGGUGGUUAGUUGGUAAUGCCAUAUGAUUUUAGACAUCUGCUGUACUGGAAUGUUAAGCAUCAGGAUUGAGGACAACUGGACGAUUUUAGAAAGUGUGAGAAUGAUGUAAAUAGAAUGAGAGUCUUCAACUAUUUAGUAAUUUUUUUCUCCUGUCCCAACUUCUGUUCUUUCAAGCAAUGCCCUGCCCGAAGGAAGACACUCCCAAUUCUGUUUGGGAGCCUGUGAAGGCAAAAUAUGUGUUUAGAGAUGUGGUGCAGAUAACCUGUCUGGAUGGGUUUGAAGUUGUGGAGGGACGUGUUGGUGCAACAUCUUUCUAUUCGACUUGUCAAAGCAAUGGAAAGUGGAGUAAUUCCAAACUGAAAUGUCAACCUGUGGACUGUGGCAUUCCU
rnacentral:sRNA from 1 species